UUUUUUUCUUUUUUGGUCGAAGUAUUACUUUCCAUUCAAACACUAGGAAACGUAUCACAAGAGAGAAGAUGACUAGAGUCAAUACAAAAUAAAUCCCAUAGAGUGGACUAGGGAAACCGCCUUUAAUUGGGAGAGCAGUACAUUACAAUCAACAAAAAGGCUUCUCAAGGCCCAUGGGCUUUCUGUCGGAUUAUAAGCGAGAAAUACAGAGGCUUCAUUGUCUGACUGUAAGCUAAUCUUCUCUGCUGCUAUUUUCUUCUUCUGCGCUGUCUCUGCCCGCAGACAGAGAAGUGCUUCUUUUACAGCGUUGCCUUCAGUUUCCAGCGGGGAGGAAGCAGACACAGAUUUGGCGAACCCCACAAUAAUCACUCCCCUGUAAUCUCUGCAUAUCCCAGCCACCGAUCCCUCUGUUUUACCUUCGAUCCAAGACCCAUCAACGUUGAAUUUCAGAAUUCCAGGUUCUGGGGGCGUCCAACGUUCUGUCUUAGCUUUCGCUGUCCAGCUCCUCGAUUCAGGCGUUCCUUGCCUUCCAAAUUUGCCAGAGGACUCCUGCAAGCAUUUCCCGACCCGAUUGUACUGAGCUUUUGUCACAGAGGGUGAAGAUGUGCUCCAUCGUAGUUGGAUAGCAAGAUUUUUGUUGCUGGACAGCAGCCCCGGGAUACUAGUGGUUAGCAAUUGGCGUAGGCCCGAUUUCUGGACCAGCAAUUGGAGGUUGGCCUCUUUGAUAGCUCCGU